AAUGGAUGACUACGAUUUUUCUAAAGUAAAUCUACGGUUUAUAUUAAUGCAUGACAGUAUAAGAAGAGACAAGGGCCUAGGUUUUGUGAGUCGAAAGCAUGGUUCUUCCAAUACAAGCCGCACUGUGCAAUCUCAGCCAAAACCCCAUGGUGGAUGAUACCUCUGCUCAUUUGAGACACCAUUUGCUUGAAGCAUAGUUCUCCGGGAUCGCCCUGCCCUCCUUGGCCAAUCUUGUUUCUUUUGUGGAGUUCGUUAUCGUCCUUUCAAGCGUUAAUGAUUUUCCCUUUUAUUUAACCUUUCAAUCUUUGAUAUUUCUACCAGCUAGAACUCCUUAGCAAGCAAUUGCAGGAGUAGUAUUCUUUUUUUUUUUUUUUUUUUUUUUUUUUUUUUUUUUUUUUUUUUUUUAGUAAAUUUUGUGACUUUUGCUAGCUGUUCCCUUGUGGUCUUGGAGAACUAUGGUUCAAGCUAACGGUGUCUUAAUGAGCUAACCAAGAUAUCUGAAUCUGAAUAUAGAGGAUCAGUGGAUCAGAUCGUCUUGCCCGUUUUCUACAAAGCUGAACCAAGGGAUGUACGAAGCCAGGGGGGGGGGGAGAUUUGCAAAGGCCUUUGAGGAACACCAGAUGCACUUCGGAGAGAGUGAGUUCAUGAUAUUGAACAGGUUGCUUCUCCUAAGAUGAGCAGAUAAAAUUCUGUCUCAACUCCUUUACAGAAUAAUGAAGGAAUUCUGGAGGCUUAUGUAAAGUCAUGGAUUUCUAGGGGGCCUUGCCAGAGCUGCUACUCGAGGAUCAGUGACAAUUACAAUGGCAUUGCACCACCUUUCAUCUUUCAUUUUCCACAUUUGUGCUGGUGACAAGUUGCUUCUAAGGAAUAAGCUGUUGAAGUCUCUCCUGCGUGACUACUUUCAGCAAGCAACAACAUGAGGCAUGAUGCUGGAUUUUAUUUGAUAUUCUAAGUCAGCAAAAUAUCAAGAUGAUGCUUUACUGUCGAGCAUGGUUUGGGGAAUCGGAUUGGAUUGGUCAGGAUUGGCUGCUUUUGAUCGAAAUCUGCCUUGACUGAUCCCAAUUCUUGGCUGAUACCAUAUUGGUGUAUUGGUACGGAUGAGGGUUAAAUGGUCCAAAAAUGGUAUUUAAUUGCAAAAACAGAGGUAUUUUUAUCCAAUCUAACUGGUCCGGAUCGAUAUUUGAUCAGUAUCAGCCUUGACCUAGUACCAAGGUUUGAGAAAGAAGGCUCUAGUUAUUAACUAAAAGUUUGUGAAGGAAAUUCUUCCUUUUUGUCUGAAAUCUGGAAACUGAAAUCCUCUAGUGAAGCUGUCUAUCUGUCCCUAAUGUUUUUCA